AUAUGGCCUAUCGUGGGACUUCACCUUGUGAUCAUCCAAUGAAGAAACCUUGGAAAAGGAAAUGAGAAGGACAACAUUGUUCUAUCAGCCAAUCUGUUCACCUUACAAUUGAUGUUAAGCAGAAUCUGAUAUGCAAAGAGGAAGCUCAGCAUCUUGUACUGCAUCCAGGUAGGGACCAUUAGAGAGACCGGAAGGAAAAGAUGCUCAGGUUCCAGAGACUUUCAAUGACUGAAGAGUGCACUAAGGUAUCCCCCACUAAGGAAGUCAAGGACCCCAAACGGAGGGACCGGCUGAAGCCA
rnacentral:lncRNA from 1 species